rnacentral:sRNA from 1 species
GCGACACUGAAGCCUGGGAUGUUCAAGUUCAUGACCAGAAGAUAAAAGAAGCUACUGAAAAAGCUAGACACGAAACCUUUGCUGCUGAAAUGAGGCAAAAUGACAAAAUCAUGUGCAUAUUGGAAAACCGGAAAAAGAGGGAUAGGAAAAAUCUCUGUAGGGCUAUCAAUGACUUCCAACAGAGCUUUCAGAAGCCAGAAACUCGCCGUGAAUUUGAUCUGUCCGACCCCCUAGCCCUUAAGAAAGAUCUUCCAGCCCGGCAGUCAGAUAAUGAUGUUCGGAAUACGAUAUCAGGAAUGCAGAAAUUCAUGGGAGAGGAUUUAAACUUCCAUGAGAGGAAGAAAUUACAAGAGGAACAAAACAGAGAAUGGUCUUUGCAGCAGCAAAGGGAAUGGAAGAACGCCCGUGCUGAACAAAAAUGCGCAGAGGCCCUCUACACAGAGACAAGGCUGCAGUUUGAUGAGACAGCCAAGCACCUGCAGAAGCUGGAAGGCACCACCAGAAAGGCGGUUUGUGCAUCUGUGAAAUACUUCAACAAGAGCCAGGUAUAGGUACUCCGAGACCCCGGGCUCGACGACUGGAGGGGAGGACGAGCCCACUACGGCUUCCCGAGGCUCUCCGUCCUCCCUGGGAUCCCAGUCUC